GACGAACGCUGGCGGCGUGCUUAACACAUGCAAGUCGAGCGGUAAGGCCCUUUCGGGGGUACGACGAGCGGCGAACGGGUGAGUAACACGUGGGUGGCCUGCCCUCAGCUCUGGGAUAAGCCUGGGAAACCGGGUCUAAUACCGGAUAUGACUCCAUGACGCAUGUUGUGGGGUGGAAAGCCUUGUGCGGCUGAGGAUGGGCCCGCGGCCUAUCAGCUUGUUGGUGGGGUGAUGGCCUACCAAGGCGACGACGGGUAGCCGGCCUGAGAGGGCGACCGGCCACACUGGGACUGAGACACGGCCCAGACUCCUACGGGAGGCAGCAGUGGGGAAUCUUGCGCAAUGGGCGAAAGCCUGACGCAGCGACGCCGCGUGAGGGAUGACGGCCUGG
rnacentral:rRNA from 1 species